rnacentral:rRNA from 1 species
UACGUAGGUGGCAAGCGUUGUCCGGAAUUAUUGGGCGUAAAGCGUGCGCAGGCGGCUUCCUAAGUCAGAUGUGAAAUCCCCGGGCUUAACCUGGGAACUGCGUUUGAAACUGGGAGGCUGGAGUGCGGCAGAGGGGGGUGGAAUUCCACGUGUAGCAGUGAAAUGCGUAGAUAUGUGGAGGAACACCGAUGGCGAAGGCAGCCCCCUGGGCCUGCACUGACGCUCAUGCACGAAAGCGUGGGGAGCAAACAGG